UGCUGGAUGGUUCAGUCGGUAGAGUGUCGGACUGUGAGUCCAACAGUCGCCGGUUCGAGUUUGGGCAUGAGGGG